rnacentral:rRNA from 1 species
UACGUAGGCAGCGAGCGUUGUUCGGAAUACUGGGCUAAAGAGUGUGUAGGCGGUGUUCCCAGUCUGUUGUGAAAUCUCCCGGCUUAACUGGGGAGGGUGCAGCGGAAACUAGAAUGCUAGAGGGUGGGAGAGGUAAGCGGAAUUCCUGGUGUAGCGGUGAAAUGCGCAGAUAUCAGGAGGAACACCGGUGGCGAAGGCGGAUCUCUGGGCCAUUACUGACGCUGAGGAGCGAAAGCGUGGGGAGCGAACAGG